rnacentral:rRNA from 1 species
UACAUGUGGGGCAAGCGUUGUUCGGAAUUACUGGGCGUAAAGGGCGCGUAGGCGGAUGGUACAGUCAGAUGUGAAAUUCCCGGGCUUAACCUGGGGGCUGCAUUUGAUACGUGCGAUCUGGAGUGAGGAAGAGGGUCGUGGAAUUCCCAGUGUAGAGGUGAAAUUCGUAGAUAUUGCGAAGAACACCGGUGGCGAAGGCGGCGACCUGGUCCUUUACUGACGCUGAGGCGCGAAAGCGUGGGGAGCAAACAGG